CUGUCAAUUCCACACCCCUAACCGCCGCUGCCCCACGUUUCUCUCGAUAGAAUUAGUAUCUCUACCGCGGAGCUACGAGUGUUUGGAUAAUAGCAGAGAAACCCAGGGUCAUCCAUUGAAGAUGAAGGCUGAUAGAUUCAGGACAGACAAAAAAAGGACUCCGCCACACAGUGCUUAGUGAAAACCAUGGAAUUUGCUCCCAUGAGAUGGGCACCAAUUUGGAUGGCUUUAAAAGCGCUUCAAGCAACCUCUUCAUGUUCUACAUGCCAGCCCUUCAAAUAUUGGAAGACUGCUAUCACAUCUCGCCUUACUCUUCCCCAGGUGCUGUCACUCUCUGACUCAUAAAUUCAUCGUUUUGACUCUAGAGGAGGGACAACUGGCAUUAUCAGGUGUGCAACCCAACCUAUGCUACAUUGACUUGGAAGGAAAUACCACAGAGUUAAGCGAGACUUACACCCAAGUUAGUGUGAGUGCAUAAGAUUUCCACUUCUCUUCCUGGUUACCUCUGUGCUCUACAAACUAGGGCAUAUUUUGGGUUGGGCUUUUGAAUCUUUAUCUCUAGUGAUUAGGGUUUCUAGUUUUCACCUGUUCAGGCCAAGUUUCAUUCCCAGUAAAGGAAUUUACAAUACCUUUGGGCAGUGGAGUCCGGUUUCCAUUGGGACAGGGUGCAAGGAGGCCAGCGGUAAAUAGAACCAGAGCCAAUUCUAAUGGGGAGCUCUCUAAUUCUGGUUUUGUCCCCAUCCUUCUCCCUGCUGAAUUGUACAACGGCAACACUGGAUUGAACAAAGGCAACAUCCCUGUUGCUACCACCUAUGUUUCUUGAGCUAGGAAGGCAAGCAGAGCCACCCCAGGCUCUGUGAGUACAGGGGGAGGUCUUGGCAAUACAACUUGCGGAGGACUCCUUCCUUGACCCUGCUAGAGGCAUCUACUUUGAGCUCCUUCUCCAGUCUGUUUCCUGGAGUGAGAGAGCAGGUGACAGCUGCUCCUUGUACCUGGCAGCUGUCAAGCGUCAAGAGCAGCAAGCAGCCUGUUCUCCCCCUCUGGGCAGUGAUGCAGAUUUCCAAUCCUCACCACUGCCCAGAGGGACAGGGCAGGUGUGAACAGCUUCUCCUGUUCCUUGUAGGCCCUCCCAGGGCCUUUUGACCCACAGAUGCUACCUUCCAAUACCAACCCUAGAGGCAAGGGAAUGACUCUCGCUACCACUGCUCCUGCCCCAUCCUUUUUCUCUUGCAAAACAGGCAGCCAUUGUGGCUAGUUUUCCUCCAGUUCCGAUAACUAAUCUCUCGAAAUAACUUUACAACUGUGUUUAGCCCCCUUUCCCAGUCACACCGAGGUUUCAGAAGGGGCGGUGGCCUUCCUGUACAAACUGGUUUGCAGAGCGGGGGCCGGGCUUUGCUGCGCCUUUUAUCUGAAAGAGGACCUGGCUCGGGUGACUUGCAAGCGAGAUCUAUACCACACAACAGCCUGAGUCAUUCAGAGCCUUUCCUUUUAGUCGUCUCAAAGUUCAGCUAUCUGUGUUUGAGAAAAUGAAAAUGCAAACACACUUCAGUUUCAGGCAGCUGACUACAGAGGGUGAUGCAGCUGGACACAGCCUUGAUUUCAUUGGAAUGUCCUCCUUAGUAAGUAUGCUUAUAAACACAGCCUUAAUGAGAGAAGGGCCUCUUCACCUUCCAGAGUUAUUUUUCUCUGAGCUGUUAAGAAACCAGAAGGUAGAAAACAAAGUUCUUUCAAAGGCGCUGGUCCCACAAUAUCCCCCAAACUUGAACGGCUCAUAGACGAUUAAAAAAAAAAAUUCCUACGAGCCAGGUUAAUUAAAGUAGUGUUUAGAGACAGUAUAGCUGUGUUUACCACACACAAGUGGUGCUUACGACCAUUCAGAGAAUGUGCAAAGGCAUGAGGUAUUCAGGGCACAUUUCCACGGGGCAGAUUAAGAGGCCCGAUGGGCUGUAGUUGGCCCCCCGGCUAGAGGCUCCCCCCGCCCGCCCGCCCCGAUACCCUGCAGCUUGAAAGAAGUGGUGAUUUGGCUCACCCUAGACUCACUGGUUUGAGCCUGGGACUGAAUCGGCUUUGGUCAUCUUGAUAGAUGGCCUUCAUCGGGAAUAUAGGUGGGGCUGAAGUUGCCCCAGAAAAUGUCACUGGUGCAAAAAAAGUGGCAGCUGGGCUACUCGUUGGAAAGAAU